AUUAUUUGUGAUUUUUUGGUAAAAAAGUACAAAACAGGCGCAUAUAAAUCUUUGCUUUCUUCCUUUCUUUCUUUUCUCUUCCUUCCCCUUCUUCCCCAUUUUUUUCCUUUCUUCCCCACCCGAAACAGACUAUUGUUCCCCAGGUUCACCAGCUUUGGCUCUGUAAAGGCAACGCGCGCGUUGUAUAACAGUAUAACAGAAACCGGACUUAAUGACUUAAACGACUUUUUCGUGACGUUGGUUUAGAAUAGCCGCAUGGACCAAUCACCACGGCCAUCUCGUAAAAGAAGGGGCGGGAGUUUAGUCUUGGCUGUUCUGAUUGGUCGAGAUUGUUUGCACACGCGCGCUUACCCAUUCGAGAAGUCAUAUAUGAACUUAUUCAGAAGAAACUCCUCCUCGAGACACCAACUCCACUCGCGUGAAAUAACUCUGUAGGUCUGCUGUUCUGAAACUACAUCAUGAAGUGGUUUUUAAGUCCUGUCUUUCCUGUGAUGAGUAAGUGAUACUGUUUAUAAUUCUCUAUAAAACACAUGAUGAUGAGAGAUUAAAACAGAAACUGCAGGAGAGAUGCGGAAGAGAGAUAACACGGAAAUACACCACAUUACACAGCAGAGAAGUCUCCACACUCGCGCUGUUCCCGUUCGAGUAUUGUGAUUACCAGACUGUAAUACAUUAAUGUUACCUCUAUUCAGACCAGAUUCCAGUUUCAGUGGAUAGCAUCAAGAAAUCUGGACUGUCCACUGGUUUGAAGGGGUUUAUAUUUGCAGUAUUUUCUGUAAAUAUUAACACAUAGUGUACAGUGAUUACAACAUGGACUACAUUUAUAGUAGCAUUAUUUCAGGGGACUGAAGGAGACACCGCGUUAAUCAUUUUGGACGGAAGGGAGAUUCCUCCCAUAAUGUAGAGUUCACUUACAGUAUGUAUGCAUCAGUGGCGGACCGUGCAUUUCACACCUAGACCUUCACUGGUGUCCUUCCUGAAUUAAUCGGCAAUAGAUACUAACCAACCGUUAAAUAAGUAAAAAAGAAAUUAGGCUACAGUAUUUCACACCUCACGAGGAAUAGUCAAUUUUAUUACGGUUACUUUUCUCAAAAAAAGUCAUUCUUGAUGCCGUAUGCAGCAAACUGCAAUCUCCGGAGGAUGCAGCAUCCGAAAUGAGACACAGUGAAUAUAGAAACACUGUAUAACAGUGCGCUGUGUCACAGGCUCUUGUAGUGAACAUGAAUAAAAUUACAUUACGAAUAGCAAAAAAAACAAACAAAAACAAAUUAACACAAUUCAGUCUAACAAGUCACCUUUCACUGCAGCAAAAAAUCCCAUAGUCCACCCCGGGAUCUGGAAUGAAGGCAAACUGUUUGUUUUGUGCAAAAGAAAACCCAAAAGCAUAAAUGGUUCUUGAAAAGCUUACCAACUAUUCUGAAGAAUCAAAAGGAUUUUCUUGAAAAGUCCGCCUUGAAAAUGCAUUUGUAAGGAUGUCCGCGACCAAAUCGGUUUCUUCUCCUCUUUCAGGCAUUGUGACUUAAAAUGUAUUAUUUAGUUUGUGCGGUUAUCCAAUCAAAGGACUGGAAAUUGCCGACGUAAACGUAUACCUGCUAGAUGGUCCCAGUGACGCCAACUCGAAAUCUGAUUGGUUAAUGGAUCUGUUUCAUUGACACUUAUUUUAAGCUACGGGCGCCUGCACUUUUAAUUCUGAAAGCCUUACGGCAGAUUUUCACUCUGGGAAUACAUGAUGUCAGCCACUAGCUGAAAUAUGAUUGGAUAAAUACUCAUCAUAAAUAUACACUACUGGAAGCAGCGCAACCAAGAGAAAACCUAUGUAGAGAAUAGACUAUUGGGAAUAAUUUAAUACACAUUCAUGGAAAAAUAUUUUAAUUAUAUUAAAAUGCAAGUCAGUGAUUCAGAUCACUGCUGUUUAGGCCAGCAGAGAAGGCCUUGCUAGCCCUGACGGUCCGCCACUGGUAUGCAUUAAUAUUUUUCUCAUGCAUGAAUAUCAAUGAAUUCAAGCAGCUGCUCAAUUCAGAGGUGUGUGUUAUAUUAAGAUAAUGUAAAAUUACAUGACAUCCAAAAAUACUUAAGUCAUGUUGGUCCAAAAAUCACACUGUAAUGUCUUUCGUUUCACAUCUAAAUGUUUCCUCAGUCUAAUCUAAAGUCUAAUCCAAUAGUCCAGCUGCACAGUAGACCUGCCCUGUUUACUGAAAGAUAUUCUAGUUUCAGGUGUAUACAUUUCAUUACACACAAGGUACUGAUGGAGUAAAGUUCAGAGUAUCACCUAAGCAGCAGUGUACAUGUGCUUCUUUCAGAGAAAGUUGUAGUCACUAGUGUGAGAUCUUUGUUUAACAUUCUCAAAAGUCUGCAGCGUUUGUUUCUGGAACCUGGUGAGUUUUGUCCCUUGGUUCUGUUUGUUUAAACAUAUACGAACACAGCAAUCACGCUCAGAUCCACACCAAAACACCCAGGCCGAGAUCACCUGAACGAGAUCACCUGAACGAGAUCACCUGAACGAGGAUCGAUUUCCAAAAGAAACAGCUGUAAAUUCUGGACAGGAAACUGUUCUGACUCGAGUGUGUCACAUGUUCAAAAUGUCUAUUCUGAUCUGUUCUCUGAUCUGUUAGUUUACCUGCUGAUGGAGCAGUGCCAAGCCUUCAUCUUCAGAGAGUCGAUGGUGAAUAAACCCCUGACCCUCCCGUGUAGUUGCUCAGGAAAUUGUCCAGAGGUUCGGUGGAUCCGCUUCAUUCCUAAAAGAGCCGUCGUUGCUCCGAGUGGGAUGUGUCCCAAACAACAGCAUUCAUAAAGCAGAUAUUCAGUGUCAGGAGAUACAAGCAGAGGAGAUUUCUCCCUGACCAUCAGUUCAGUAGCCUACAAUGAUGCCGGCUCCUACAUGUGCAGCUGUAAUGGACAAUCAGUUACUGAAGUAAAGCUGAAAGUUAUCGAUAAAUGUGCUUGCUGUCAUCAGCAGAAAAUUGUCACUCUUAACAUGUCUGUAGUAAAGUCUGACCAGCCACACUAAAUGCUAAAAGUAAUAAGGUGAUCUGUUUUUGUUUACCCGGAAGUUCCGACAUUUGUAAAGGCUUUGGGGGGAGAGAACGUCGCCCUCCCGUGCUACGGAGACACUCGACAUGACGUUAAAGAUGUAAAAUGGAUGAAAGAUGGACACAGGGUUCUGCUGUACACUCCUGCUAACAGAUCGGUGACUACUGAAAGCAGAUUUACGAUGUCAGUAGCAGGCUUUCUAGACGGUGAUCUCUCUCUCCACAUCAGUCCAGUUCACCCGUCUGAUGCAGGAUUAUAUCAGUGUCUCAUCCAUGAUGAAUCUCAGGACGGAGAACCAGGAGCUGUUUUACUGAAGGUAGAAGGACUACAAUUCACAACCAACAACAGCGCUCAAGUUUCAGUACUGCAUGUGCUAUUAGGAUUGUUCAUCAUCAUUUACAUUGUGUUAGAAAGCAGAGACUGAUCCAGAUUUAAUCCAAAGUAUGAAUUAAUAUUUGGCUUUUAUUUUGUUGUGUCAUUGUCCUGUGUGUUUAUUGUACUGUAUCAUGUAUAAUUGCACUUUAUUCGAUCUUAUGUACUGUUACGUGUUGCACCAUGGUCCUGGAGUCAUUUUUGUUCCAUUAAGUUAUAUACUUGUAGCAGUGACCUGCUGUGGGGUUCGUGACUGGUGAGGCACUGUCUCUUACAGAGUCAGAUUUACAAAUACAUGAAUUUAAUAGAGUAGAUUAAAUUCACCAUUCAGUUGGCUGCUUGCACAUUGUUUAAUGGUUAUUUAUUACGUCCUGUUUUGAGUGGAGUGGUCAUACUGAACGAAGAGGAAACACAGAGGUUCAGAAGAGGUCAUUCAGAGGUCCUAGAUAAAAGGUCUGUUCUUUAACCAGUGUAUAAUCUGGAAGUGGAGGAGCAGCAGCAUUUCAUUUUCUUAUCAGAAAAGAAGAAAUAUCACCACAACAUCUCUGCUUUAUAAAACAACACACUGUGAAGUGUUUUAUUUCCAUUGUUUAAAAGUGCAUAUACUGUAUUUUACUAUGCUUUUAUGAUGCUGAUUGAAGGAACAAAAUAUUAUAAUCCUGUACUUAACUGUAAGAGAAACUCUGAUUCUGUAUACUGUUGUGGUGAUAUUUGUAUCAUCUAGGCUGUGUGAUUGUCUUUAGUGAUUUGCUUAUAGUAAAGUGAUAUAAAGACACAAGAAAAACUGUUUAAAUCAUAUUUUGUAUCUGAAUAAAAUGGAAUUGAAAUAUUUUGAAUGAGAACUUGAAUACAUAAGUAAUCACGUAAUUUGUUAAGAUCGUCCACUAGAUGGCAGUAGAAUACACAAAAGAUUCUAGCCUGCAUCAUUCGAGUUUGUGUUUUUUUCCUAUUUCAUUUAUUUUUCGAAAAAGCAUUCUGAAGAUUCAGAAUUGAUUCCACACAGUGACGGAAAUAUUGCUAGUCUGGAGAUGUUCGGAUUGAAAGACAUAAUUAGACAAAGCUAGAACAUAACAGUUAGAAGCUGUUUUAUAUUAUACAUAUAUUUAAUUAACAUUGCACUGUUUAUUUUAUUAUAUCUCGUUUCCUGUCUUUCCACAAAUGUUUCAGAAUCGACUCAAUUGAUUCAGAUUCAUUGAAAUCAAUGGAGUCAUUUUCUCAUUUUGACCAUCCUAGUUCAGGUACAAUGUCAUUAGAGAAUGUGGUUCUAAAAGGGUUGGAUGUCUCAAAUCCGGUCUUAUGAGUUGAUUUGAACUUGUUUCCAAAUCAGUAAGAUUUAUUUGGAUUUGUACUUGGACUUGUUUUAGUCUUGAGCCUUGAUAAUUAUAAAAAUAUUCUUUGUGUUGUCUUUUCUUUUGCAAAAUGUUUGUCAAGAAGUGAAACUGCUUAAUCCCUGAGCAAUGUACGAAUGAAACCAACUAGUUGAUGUGAAGUGUAGACCUCAAAAAGGAUUCGAUUCUCUUGAUCUUUGACUCUUUGACGCUUUCAUUUGACUCUUUGAUGCUUUCAUUUGGUCCUGACUCAGUCUCAGGUAGUUCUGGUCUUAGACUUACCUUCUACAAUGCCGUUCUUGACGACAGACAUACUUAUUAUUGUUUAUCUAUUUGUUAUCAAAUGUAAUAAGAUUGAAACUAUUUUAAACACAAACUCUUAACGAUACCAUAAUCUUGUGGUACUAUUGGCUGAAUUUCAUAUACAGAGAUCUGAAAUUUGUAACACAAAAGCCUUUAGACAAGCUGGAUAAAGUGGGAUGUUUUAUUCAAUUUUGUCAGAAAACACUCAUUAAUUAUCUUUAUGACCUCUGGUAUGAACACAAAGGAAAUAAAGCACAAAACAACAAGGCAGGUUAAUGUCCUGGGAUGAAUAUAUCAUGUGAUAAUGACUAUUAUUUGUUAGCUGCUGUUGGUUAGAAGGAUAUUUACUUCAUUGACAGAUGAAAUAAUCUGAAGCAGUGAGUUAUGAACUAAAUCACGGGUCCAGGAUUUUAAACAUGGGGUGGCAAAGAUGUGAAUGAAUGAAUGUCAUGCUAACAGUGGACAAUCUGUAAGCUAAAAAUUUAUAAUACAUUAUCAUCGUUUGGCACAUAUUAAAACAAAAAUGUAUGAAAACUUUAAAGAUGUGUAAUUUAUUAAAAGGUGUUGCAGAGACAUGAGCUUGUUUAUACUUGAUAAUGUUCAUUUUUUUAUUUUUACAAAAAUUAAGCAUUAUUUAAUUGCAUAGUUAUUCAAAUGGUUGUAGGAGAACAAAAAUAAUACAAACAACAACAGGAGCAGGAAAAAGAGAAGAUCAAGCAGGACCACUGGAGGGGGUGCUGGCAGGUGAAUCACUGGAGUCUGCUUUGGCAUCUGUAUUUUGUGCCACUCCUUCCCCAUUGUUCUCCUUCCUGUUGUAUCACUUGUUUCCCAUUAACCUUAAUGUGUAGCCCUAUUAAUAGGGAUCCUUGUAUACCUGUCCUCGUUGGUCAUUGUUGAUUGUUUGGUGUUAUGUUACGUCAUGUUCAUGUUCAGGUUUAGGCCAUGUUUUAUUCUUUGGUUUUCUGUUUAUAUUUUAGAUUCAGUUAGUGUCAU